rnacentral:ncRNA from 2 species
CAUAAUACUAAAUAAGUCAUCCGUAUAAUCCUGAUAAUAAUGGUUCAGGAGUCUCUACUAGGAAACCGUAAUUUCCUUUCUAUGGAUGAAUCUGAGGAAACU